rnacentral:rRNA from 1 species
GGGGAACGGGGACGGCACCUCCGGACGACUUACCUUGAAAAAAUUAGGGCGUUCAAGGCGGGCGAAUCGUCGCCCCGAAUAGAUUAGCACGGGAUAACGGAACAGGGCUUCGGUCCGAGUUCGUUGGUUCCUACCUCGGACCGGAGCGCAUGAUUGAUAGGGACGGUCGGGGCCGCUCGCAUCGGGUCGUCAGAGGUGAAAUUCUAGGACCGACCCGAGACGAACGGGUGCGAAGGCGUUCGGCAAGGACGUUUUCGUUAAUCAAGAACGAAAGUUGGGGGAUCGAAGUCUUCAGUCCCCAAUAGUCCCGGGCCAACGCCCGGGGCUAGUCACGUAACUAUGGCGACACCAUCGAAUUGCGGGGAAGUCCUAGUGCACGGGCUACGAAGCGCGGCGGGUGACCUCCGCGUGGCCGGGUUAACGACCCCGGGUAACGUAACAACGCCCGUGACGAUCCCGCCUCGCGCGGGUGAAAGGGAUGAUCCGCAGCCAAUCCCCGUCCGAGCGUCGGACGGGAGCGUUCAGAGACUAUGCGGUGGGUGGGGGCGGGGCCGCGCGGGCCCCGUCAUAAGAUAUAGUCCAGCCCCCUGGUAACAGGGUCUCCGGGCAAAGCCCCGGCGGUAGUUACCGACGCGCGCGCAACGGCGCCGCGUUGCCGCCCUGGCCCGAACCCGGAGAUUUGGCCACGCGAACAUUGGUGUGACCAAAGGACCAACUGCGAAGACGAUCAGAUACCGUCGUAGUUUCGACCGUAAACGAUGCCGACCGAGGGCCCGGGGACGUUACGCAGUACGACUCCGCGGGCCCCCCUCGUCGAGAAAUCGGGAGUAUUUGGGUUCCGGGGGGAGUACGGUCGCAAGGCCGAAACUUAAAGGAAUUGACGGAAGGGCACCACCAGGAGUGGAACCUGCGGCUUAAUUUGACUCAACGCGGGAAAACUCACCGGGUCCGGACACGGUAAGGAUUGACAGGUCGACGGAUCUUUCUCGAUUCCGUGGAAAGUGGUGCAUGGCCGUUUUUAGUUGGUGGAUCGGUCCGUCUGGUUUAUUCCGUUAACGAACGAGACCUCGACCCGUCGAAUAGCUCGACGAGCCCGGCCCCGGCUUCGGCCGGCGGCCGAAGGCUCGCCCACGGCCGCAACGGCGGUUGUCGCCUGGCUGCUCGUCCCUCGGGGCGGGCGGUUGGGCGGAGCUUCUCGGAGGGACCCCCCGUUCUUCGAAGCGGGAGGAGGCGCGAGGCGAAAACAGGUCUGUGAUGCCCUUAGAUGUUCCGGGCCGCACGCGCGUUACAGUGACGCGCUCAACGAGCUUAGCCCCGGCCCGGAGGGGUCGGGGAACCUUCAGGACGCGUCGCGGUGGGGACAGACCGUUGCAACUGUCGUUCUCGAACCAGGAAUUCCUAGUAGGCGCGGGUCAUCAACCCGCGCCGAUUACGUCCCUGCCCUUUGUACACACCGCCCGUCGCUCCUACCGAUCGAACGGUCCGGCGAGGACUCGGGACAGUUCGGGACCCCCGCGGCCGAAAGGCUACGGGACCCGAGCUGGAACCUGUUCGAACCUUAUCGUUUAGAGGAAGGAGAAGGUCGUCGAACGGUCCGGCGAGGACUCGGGACGGUUCGGGACCCCCGCGGCCGCAAGGCUACGGGACCCGAGCUGGAACCUGUUCGAACCUUAUCGUUUAGAGGAAGGAGAAGUCGU